GAUCCUGAACGUGAGUCCCAGCGAUAGUCUUGCUCAAUUUUCAGCAGGGCCCCCGCACACUCCCCUCAACCCCGAUCCCUGCCUCCUGUGAGACUGGGCUAGCACCUGUGCUGGAACAGUCAGGCCCUGGUCUUUUGUUCUUUGACUCUCUUCACAAUAAGGGUCACUUCUCUUCUGCCUGAAGCUGGUGGGCCUCCGUGGUGCCCUUGAUGGCCCAGGCACUGAGAACUCAAGGGCAGGCAGCAGUGUCAGGGUUUUCCUCUCCAGGCUACAAGCCACGCUCAGCGCUCAGGUGGCAGAGGGACGUGGGGGCGUGGCUCAUCACAGGGGAGAAGGGGGAGCCUCCAAAGUCCUUUUCUACCAGGAAAGAAACUGGGGAUCUGCUGAAGCUUCUUCCUGGCAGCGUCUGAGUGGCACGUGGGCCAAGCACCAGGUACCCUGGUACUGUACGCCUAACAGAGAGCACCUGCUGUCCCCCGUCUCCCCACAGGGCGCCGUCAUCCUGCACCUGACGGAGCACCUGCUGCACAGCAACAUGACCAGCAGUGACAUCCUCCUGUGACCAGCAGUAACAUCCUCCUGUGCUACACAUGGUUGGCUGGAUGAUGUGGAACUGGAUGGUGUCCAUUCUGGCCACAGGAGCGGCCAUGGGCUUGUACGAUGGCUCCCCCAUGGUGCCCAUGCCCAACAUGCUCUGGGACCUGGUUGACAGGAUAGGCAUCCUGGUAACCAGGGUGAAGUGGCUGUCGGCGCUGGAAGAGAAGGCCAUGAAGCCGGUGAGUGUGCCUCUUUAAUCUCAUUCCCUGUACUGCCAAUCAAGGAAAUUAAAUCCAUCCUAUUUCCUGCUUGUGCGUGAGGCUUCAGGUGCUGGGUUUAGUUUUAAUCUUUUGGUGAUUCUUUGCCCCAGUGGAAAUCCACAGUCUCCAGAUGCCCCAGACACAUCCAGCCAUUAGAAGUGCAAGGAUGAAAGUACUUGUUUAGAUAGAAAUAUAGUGAUGGACACUGAAACGUGGUGAUGAUGAGUAAAAUAAUCAGAUUGCAGAAGAUCGUGCUCCAGACAUGAUCCUGUCCACCGGCUCCCUGCUGAAAGCCUAAAGCUAUGAGUGUGUCUACAGGUGCGUCAAGAGCAGCGUCCUCCUGGGCUCCACCUCGGGUAUGGCUCUGCGGGGGACAGACCUCCCGGCCAUCCCCGCCUCCCGAAGGCAGGCCGGCCCUGUAAGUAUGCACACCCUCUGCCCAGUGCUUGGAUUCAUCCCAAGGGCACGGUCUACUGGGCGGCCAGUACGCACAGUCCCCUCUCAGUAUCUGAGGCAGUGAUGCUCUGCAAAGUCACUGUGAACACCGAGUCAGCACGGACGGAACCCUUGCUCCUGGGGGAAGUAGGUUGGUACACACACACCUCUCACAUCGAUUAUAGUCUUAAAUCCAAAACAACACAUCUUGGUAGGUUCUAUUUUUUUAUCUUGUGAAAGAGAAAAUGCAGUUCAGAAGCGUUCAGUGACUUGCCCAAGGCCACUGUCAGGUGCCAGAGCUGGGAUGCAAAGCCUGGGAACAGAGCACCCUGCCCCACCCUGCCCCAGUCUCCUGCGUGUGAGAGGGAGGCAGGGAGCCCAUGUCUCCUUGUGUGACCUGGGUGGGAACCGGCCUGGGUGGCUCAGGUUUGACGGCUCUGCAGUGUCUGAGAGUGACUGCAAAAGCUCCAGAGUAUAGGCCUGGAGGUCACACAUACAUUUUAGUGAGCAGGCAAAUUCGCAAAAAUAGAAUCUGCAAAUAGAAGCCACUGUAUGGAAGGACAAAUACUGCAACAUUGUUUAUAUAAGGAAAAAUAGAUUAUCGGUAUGCCCAGCAGAAGGAAAUUCAUUCAAUAAUUUAGGGUACAUUCUUAAUUUAUGUAGCCAUUAGAAGUGCAAUUAUGAAAGUAUUUGUUCAGAUAGAAAUAUACUGAUGGACAUUGAAACAUGGUCAUGAUGAGUGAAAAAAUCAGAUUGCAGAAUUAUAAGG
rnacentral:lncRNA from 10 species